ACGGGUGAGUAACGCGUGGGUAACCUGCCUUGUACUGGGGACAACAGUUAGAAAUGACUGCUAAUACCGCAUAAGCGCACAGUAUCGCAUGAUACAGUGUGAAAAACUCCGGUGGUACAAGAUGGACCCGCGUCUGAUUAGCUAGUUGGUAAGGUAACGGCUUACCAAGGCGACGAUCAGUAGCCGACCUGAGAGGGUGACCGGCCACAUUGGGACUGAGACACGGCCCAA
rnacentral:rRNA from 1 species